UCCUUACAAUACCCAUUAAUCAGCACAUUGAAUGUGACCACGUCAGGAGAAAUUCCAGCUUGGAUCAUCUCUUUCAACAGCGCAUCGACAUGGUACAUUUUUCCAACUUGUCCGCGUUUGCAGUAACCGUCGAUGAGGGUGUUGUAGGUGGCGACCGAGGGCGCCACCCCCCACGCACUGAUGUUCUUGGCGACGUCACCGGCCUUGCGGAGCUGCCCAGUCUUGCAGAACCCGGAGAUGACGAUGUUAAAGGUGAACAAGUCCGGCGACACGCGCCGCCGCAGCGCCGCCCUGAACGCCCGGUCGGCGAGGUCGACCCGGUCGGCGCGGACGAGGGCGGCGAGCAG
rnacentral:misc_RNA from 1 species